GCGGCGGCGUGGAACUCCAAGUAGGCGCGCUGCUGGUGGGCGACGACGGCGGCGGCGAAGAGCUGCCCGUACGCCGGCGGCGGGUGCGGGGUCACCGCCGGGAUGGCGGCGGCGGCGGCGGCCGCUAAGGGCACCAGACCUGCAGCGGCCGUAAGCGCAAGGAUGGCCACUGAUGUCCCUUUCCCAUCACCAUCGUGACUGCAAACGGUCAUUGUGCAAGGCAGUUGCUAAGUGAGGACUAUGUGGGAAACACAGUCUUGUUUCUUAUCCUGACUCCAUACGUGCCUAGCCCAAACAACCACUUUAUUGUCUGGAUUGCAUUCUCUCUUCCAUGAAACAAUUGCCAUGUGUUUGGCAAAGGAUUAAUUGAAGUAAACUGUUGCCACAGCAACCCUACAAAUACAAGGCUUUAAUCAGACGAAACUCGGGACGGGAUCAGAAGGGAGACGGGAAGACCGCAAAGCAAAGCAAAAGAAACAAAAAACAAAUCCGGGCUGGGCAAAGCAAGUAGAAGCUGAUUCCCAGUGUCAAUCAUAUUGCAGAAUGUCCCAAAGUUGCUUUUUUCAACUGGACUUUCUUGUUUUUCCUUUGAAGACGUUUCGCUUCUCCUCCAAAGAGCUUCUUCAGCUCUGACUAGAUGGUGGGGAAAUGGAAGGCUUUAUCCUCCUUGCAGACAGCUGGUCAUUUGCAUCCUUUAAGAGAGUCGUUGAGGCCACUUGGAGGCUUGUCUGCGUCCUCAAGAUCACCUGAGUGGGUGCAAAUGGAUGUGGAGCCUUCUUGGCAUCAGGGUGUUUUUCUGCCCUGGGUCCCUCCCCUGUUGAAGACGGGCACAGGAUGAUGGGGAUGCGUCGGUCUUGUCUGCCUCUCCAACUGAAGCACAAAAUGGUUCCUGGGGUCUGCCAUGUUUUCUGGAAGUCCGUUCACACUCCCGCACCUUUUGGAGGGUGUUCAUCAUCCAAAGUGCAUGGCUUAAAUGACCCGGAUGAUUGAGAAUCUCCACGGACAUAUUGCAGACCACUGAAUCUGUCGGUUUGGAACAGCAAGCCCGUCCCAUUCCGACGACGGAAUCUGAAGCAACCAACCCUUUGGAAAAAGCAGUGUUGCCUGCAGGCACAACCUGAGUCAUUGGCACUGUCGGCCACCACCAGAUGAGAUAAUUCUACUUUAUUAUAAAGCUACACUGAGAGAAUUUUAUAAA